rnacentral:rRNA from 1 species
UUUAAAGAGAGUUUGAUCCUGGCUCAGGACGAACGCUGGCGGCGUGCCUAAUACAUGCAAGUCGAACGAACGGAGGAAGAGCUUGCUCUUCCAAAGUUAGUGGCGGACGGGUGAGUAACACGUGGGCAACCUGCCUGUAAGUUGGGGAUAACUCCGGGAAACCGGGGCUAAUACCGAAUGAUAAAGUGUGGCGCAUGCCACGCUUUUGAAAGAUGGUUUCGGCUAUCGCUUACAGAUGGGCCCGCGGUGCAUUAGCUAGUUGGUAGGGUAAUGGCCUACCAAGGCAACGAUGCAUAGCCGACCUGAGAGGGUGAUCGGCCACACUGGGACUGAGACACGGCCCAGACUCCUACGGGAGGCAGCAGUAGGGAAUCUUCCGCAAUGGACGAAAGUCUGACGGAGCAACGCCGCGUGUAUGAAGAAGGUUUUCGGAUCGUAAAGUACUGUUGUUAGAGAAGAACAAGGAUAAGAGUAACUGCUUGUCCCUUGACGGUAUCUAACCAGAAAGCCACGGCUAACUACGUGCCAGCAGCCGCGGUAAUACGUAGGUGGCAAGCGUUGUCCGGAUUUAUUGGGCGUAAAGCGCGCGCAGGCGGUCUUUUAAGUCUGAUGUGAAAGCCCCCGGCUUAACCGGGGAGGGUCAUUGGAAACUGGAAGACUGGAGUGCAGAAGAGGAGAGUGGAAUU